ACUAUGAUCUAAAAAGAUCCUCUACUCGCCAACGUCCGGAUGAGCCGAACCAAUAGCGA
rfam:Candidatus Saccharibacteria bacterium GW2011_GWC2_48_9 TY35_C0014, whole genome shotgun sequence.